ACUCACUCAACAGCGUCACCGGCCAGCACCACCAUGCCAGGCCUCAGUGAGGAAUCUACCACCAUCUACAGUGGACCAAGCUCAACUGAAACCACAGUGUUUUCUCAUAGCACCACAACCUCCAUUCAUGUUGAACAACCUACAGCCUUCCCUGGUAGCCUAGGCUCCACCGAAAUAGUGUUACCUGUCACCCUUACCACCACAGACCUUGGUGAGGAAUCAACAGCCUUCCACAGUAGCUCAGACGCAACUGUAACAACACCCUUACCUCCCCACUCCACAACCUCAGCCCUCGUUGGCGAAUCUGCAACGUUCUAUAUGAGCCCAUCCACUAGUUACACAACCCUCUUUCCUGCCAGUUCCAGCACAUCAGGCCUCACUGGGGAAUCUACCACCUUCCACACCAGUCCAAGCUUCCCUUUUACAUUUGCGUCUACUGAAAGCCUGCAAACCUUAGUGCCAGGGUCAUGCCAGGAAGGACAAAUCUGGAAUGGAAAACAAUGCGUCUGUCCCCAAGGCUACGUUGGUUACCAGUGCUUGUCCCCUGUGGAAUCCUUCCUUGUAGAAACCCCGGAAAAACUCAAUGCCACUUUAGGUAUGACAGUGAAAGUGACUUACAGAGAUUUCACAGAACAGAUGAAUGACUCAUCCUCCCAGGAAUACCAGAACUUCAAUAGCCUCUUCAAGAAUCGGAUGGAUGUCGUUUUGACAGGCGACGAUCUUCCGCAGUAUAGAGGGGUAAACAUUCGGAGAUUGCUCAACGGUAGCAUCGUGGUCAAGAAUGAUGUCAUCCUGGAGGCAGACUACACUUCAGAGUAUGAAGAACUGUUUGAAACCCUGGUAGAGAUUGUAAAGGCCAAGAUUAUGAAUGAAACCAAAACAGUUCAUGAUCGUGAUCAUGAUUUCUGCAGAGACUCCUGCCACAGGAACCCAGAAGCCAGGCCCAGGAUGCCUUCCCCAGAUCCCAAAGCUGCUCCCAACAGCCUCCUGUCGACCCCAGGCUGAGGCUGUCAUAUCCCCAUUUGAGCCUCCUCAUAAGCCCAGCUGCGUGUCUAG
rnacentral:lncRNA from 1 species